UUAUGUUCUUGAAAUUUAAAAAAUUUGGCGGUAUUUUAGUCUUUUCAGAGGAACCUGUUCUAUAAUUGAUGAUCCACGAUUAAUUGUACUUAGUUUAUAUUAGUUUAUAUAUCGUCGUAGUUGAAUAUCUUAAGAGAGUGGUAAAUAUUCAUAAUUUAUUAUUAAUAAAAAAAAUCAGAUCAAGAUAUAGCUUAUAAUUGAGAAGAAAUGGGUUACAAUAAAAUUAUUUAUAUGGCUAUGAUAAUUAACAUUAUUGUUAAAAUUGGAUUUGAAAGUAAUGUAUUUAAGUUAAAAUGCAUGAUUUAAGCUCUAUAAUAUGCACAUAUCGCCCGUCGCUUUCGUUGAAUAUAAAAUGAAAUAAGUCGUAACAUAGUAGUUGUACCGGAAGGUGUAGCUAGAAAGUUCAGAUUAAAGCUUAUAUAUUAAGUAUCUUAUUUACAUUAAGAAGAUAAAUUGGUAAAUUCAAUUUAAUUUGAAAUUUAAAUAUUUAUUAUUUUAAAAUUUGAUUUUUUUUUAUUUUUAAUAAAAAUAUUUUUUUGUUUAUUUAUUAAUUAAGAUAAAAUUAUUUUAAAUUAUAGUGUAUUUUGUAUAGUGAUAGAUUUUUGAAAUAUAGUGAAAAUUUAAAUAAUUUAAAGAAAAAUUAAUUUUUUGUACCUUGUGUAUCAGGGUUUAUUAAAUAAUAAUUAUUAAUUUUAAUUUUCUCGAAUUUAAAAGAGUUAAAAAAUUAUAUAUUUUAUUGUUAAAUAAAUAUUUAUAAUAAUUUUUUAGUAAUGAAACGUUAGUCGUUUUAAAAUUUAUCUAGUUUUUUAAGAAAUAAAUUUAAUUUAGUUUUUUAUUUUAAUUAAAAUAAUUAUUUAUUUUAUAUUAAAUAAUUAAUUAAUAUUUUAAGGGAUAAGCUUUAAAAUAAAAUUUUAAAAAUUAAUUUUAAAUUUUUAUAUAAAUUUUUAGGAUUAGAAGUUUUUUUUAUUGAUAGUGUGUUAUAACAAAUUUAUAUUUAAAUUGGAUUUAUAUAUAAUUUUAAAUUUUUUAUUAAAAUUAUUAAUUUAAUUAAAAAAUUUAUGUAAUAAUGAUAAAAUUAGUAUAAUUUAAAGUAUUAAUUAGUUAAAAAAUUAAGGUUAAAUUAAGGAACUCGGCAAAAUAAUUUUCCGCCUGUUUAUUAAAAACAUGUCUUUUUGAUUAUAAUUUAAAGUCUAGUCUGCCCAAUGAAUAUUUAUUUAAAUGGCCGCGGUAUUUUGACCGUGCAAAGGUAGCAUAAUAAUUAGUUUCUUAAUUAGGAACUGGAAUGAAUGGCUGAACGAGAGAAUUACUGUCUCAAUUUAAUUUAAAUUAGAAUUUUAUUUUUAAGUAAAAAAGCUUAGAUAAUUUUAAAAGACGAGAAGCCCCUAUAGAGUUUUAUAUUAUGUAUUAAAUUUAAAAAUUUAGGUAUUUAUAUAUUAAAUUUAAAUAAAAUAAUAUUUAAUUGGGGUGAUUAAAAAAUUAAAUUAACUUUUUUUAAAUUAAACCA
rnacentral:rRNA from 1 species